rnacentral:rRNA from 1 species
UACAGAGGGGGCAAGCGUUGUUCGGAAUUAUUGGGCGUAAAGGGUGCGUAGGCGGCAUGCUAAGUCGAAUGUGAAAUCCCCGGGCUCAACCCGGGAACUGCGUCCGAUACUGGUGGGCUUGAAUCCGGGAGAGGGAUGUGGAAUUCCAGGUGUAGCGGUGAAAUGCGUAGAUAUCUGGAGGAACACCCGUGGCGAAAGCGGCGCGCUGGACCACAACUGACGCUGAGGAACGAAAGCUAGGGGAGCAAACAGG